rnacentral:rRNA from 1 species
GUGGGGAAUCUUAGACAAUGGGGGAAACCCUGAUCUAGCCAUGCCGCGUGAUCGAUGAAGGCCUUAGGGUUGUAAAGAUCUUUCAGGUGGGAAGAUAAUGACUGUACCACCAGAAGAAGCCCCGGCUAACUCCGUGCCAGCAGCCGCGGUAAUACGGAGGGGGCUAGCGUUGUUCGGAAUUACUGGGCGUAAAGCGCACGUAGGCGGAUUGGAAAGUUGGGGGUGAAAUCCCGGGGCCCAACCCCGGAACUGACUUCAAAACUCCCAGUCUUGAGUUCGAGAGAGGUGAGUGGAAUUCCGAGUGUAGAGGUGAAAUUCGUAGAUAUUCGGAGGAACACCAGUGGCGAAGGCGGCUCACUGGCUCGAUACUGACGCGGAGGUGCGAAAGCGUGGGGAGCAAACAGGAUUAGAUACCCCUGUAGUCC